GUAAGGAAUAUUGGGCAAUGGACGAAAGUCUGACCCAGCCAUGCCGCGUGAAGGAUGAAGGUCCUCUGGAUUGUAAACUUCUUUUAUCUGGGGCGAAAAUCGGGUAUUCUUAUCCGCUUGACAGUACCAGAUGAAUAAGCACCGGCUAACUCCGUGCCAGCAGCCGCGGUAAUACGGAGGGUGCAAGCGUUAUCCGGAUUCACUGGGUUUAAAGGGUGCGUAGGUGGGCAGGUAAGUCAGUGGUGAAAUCCCCGAGCUUAACUUGGGAACUGCCGUUGAUACUAUCUGUCUUGAAUACUGCGGAGGUAAGCGGAAUAUGUCAUGUAGCGGUGAAAUGCUUAGAGAUGACAUAGAACACCAAUUGCGAAGGCAGCUUGCUACACAGUAAUUGACGCUGAGGCACGAAAGCGUGGGGAGCAAACAGGAUUAGAAACCCGUGUAGUCC
rnacentral:rRNA from 1 species